CCUACGGGUGGCAGCAGUGAGGAAUAUUGGUCAAUGGGCGCGAGCCUGAACCAGCCAAGUAGCGUGAAGGAUGACUGCCCUACGGGUUGUAAACCUCUUUUAUAAAGGAAUAAAGUGAGGCACGUGUGCCUUUUUGCAGGUACCUUAUGAAUAAGGAUCGGCUAACUCCGUGCCAGCAGCCGCGGUAAUACGGAGGAACCGAGCGUUAUCCGGAUUUAUUGGGUUUAAAGGGAGCGGAGUUGGGUUGUUAAGUCCGUUGUGAAAGUUUGCGGCUCAACCGUAAAAUUGCACUUGAUACUGGCAGUCUUGAGUACAGUUGAGGUAGGCGGAAUUCGUGGUGUAGCG
rnacentral:rRNA from 1 species